AUUGAACGCUGGCGGCAGGCCUAACACAUGCAAGUCGAACGAGUGGCGGACGGGUGAGUAAUGUCUGAGAAACUGCCUGAUGGAGGGGGCUAACGACUGGAAACGGUAGCUAAUACCGCUAACCAUCAGAUGUGCCCAGAUGGGAUUAGCUUGUUGGUGGGGUAAAGGCUCACCAAGGCGAAGAUGCCUAGCCGGUCUGAGAGGUUGACCAGCAACACUGGAACGGAGACACGGUCCAGACUCCUACGGGAGGCAGCAGUGGGGAAUAUUGCACAAUGGGCGCAAGCCUGAUGCAGCCAUGCCGCGUGUAUGAAGAAGGCCUUCGGGUUGUAAAGUACUUUCAGCGGGGAGGCGUUACCCGCAGAAGAAGCACCGGCUAACUCCGUGCCAGCAGCCGCGGUAAUUC
rnacentral:rRNA from 1 species